UUGUAUCUAUGAAACUGGAGCAUAAUGUCUACUGCUAAGGUUUCCACUACAGAUGCAAGAAAAAGAAGGUUCUCCCCCUUUCUGUCUGUUUGGAUGUGGUGGCCAAGAUCCAAUGGGGGAAUACGGGA
rnacentral:snoRNA from 1 species